GAUGAACGCUGGCGGCGUGCCUAAUACAUGCAAGUCGAGCGAACGGACGAGAAGCUUGCUUCUCUGAUGUUAGCGGCGCACGUGUGAGUAACAUGUGGAUAAUCUACCUAUAAGACUGGGAUAAUUUCGGGAAACGGGAGCUAAUACCGGAUAAUAUUUUGCACCGCAUGGUUGAACAGAGAAAUACGGUCUUUCUGUCACUUAUAGAUGGAUCUCCGCUGCAUUGGCUUGUUGGUACUUUAACGGCUUACCAAGGCAACUAUGCAUAGCCGACCGCAGAGGGUGGUCGGCCACGCUGGAACUUAGGCACGGUCCAGAUUCCUGCGGGAGGCAGCAGUAUGGUAUAUUGCGCAAUGGACGAAAGGCUGGCGGAGCAAAGCCGAGCGUGUGAUGAAGGCCUUCGGUUCGUAAACAUCUGUUAUUAGGGAAGAACAUAUGUGUACGUAACUGUGCACAUCUUGACGGUAACUAAUCAGAAAGCCACGGCUAACUACGUG
rnacentral:rRNA from 1 species